rnacentral:rRNA from 1 species
AAUAGAUACCCCGGUAGUCCACGCCGUAAACGAUGAGUGCUAGGUGUUAGGGGUUUCGAUACCCUUGGUGCCGAAGUUAACACAUUAAGCACUCCGCCUGGGGAGUACGGUCGCAAGACUGAAACUCAAAGGAAUUGACGGGGACCCGCACAAGCAGUGGAGUAUGUGGUUUAAUUCGAAGCAACGCGAAGAACCUUACCAGGUCUUGACAUCCCUCUGAUCGGUGCAGAGAUGUAUCUUUCCUUCGGGACAGAGGAGACAGGUGGUGCAUGGUUGUCGUCAGCUCGUGUCGUGAGAUGUUGGGUUAAGUCCCGCAACGAGCGCAACCCUUAUAUUUAGCUGCCAGCACUUCGGGUGGGCACUCUAGAUAGACUGCCGGUGACAAACCGGAGGAAGGUGGGGAUGACGUCAAAUCAUCAUGCCCCUUAUGACCUGGGCUACACACGUACUACAAUGGCCGGUACAACGGGCUGCGAAAUCGCGAGAUGGAGCCAAUCCCAACAAAGCCGGUCUCAGUUCGGAUUGCAGG